rnacentral:rRNA from 1 species
ACGUAGGGUGCGAGCGUUAAUCGGAAUUACUGGGCGUAAAGCGUGCGCAGGCGGUUAUGUAAGACAGGUGUGAAAUCCCCGGGCUCAACCUGGGAACUGCGCUUGUGACUGCAUAACUUGAGUGUGGCAGAGGGGGGUGGAAUUCCACGUGUAGCAGUGAAAUGCGUAGAGAUGUGGAGGAACACCGAUGGCGAAGGCAGCCCCCUGGGUCAACACUGACGCUCAUGCACGAAAGCGUGGGGAGCAAACAGG